GGGGAUAUAGCUCAGAUGGUAGAGUGCUUGCCUCUCAUGCAUAAGGCCCUGAGUUCAAUCCUCAGCACCA
rnacentral:tRNA from 1 species